GACGAACGCUGGCGGCGUGCUUAACACAUGCAAGUCGAACGAUGAAGCUGGAGCUUGCUCCGGUGGAUUAGUGGCGAACGGGUGAGUAACACGUGAGCAAUCUGCCCUUGACUCUGGGAUAACUGCGGGAAACUGUAGCUAAUACCGGAUACUUUCACUGGAAGGCAUCUUCUGGUGAAGAAAGAAUUUCGGUCAAGGAUGAGCUCGCGGCCUAUCAGCUUGUUGGUGAGGUAACGGCUCACCAAGGCGACGACGGGUAGCCGGCCUGAGAGGGUGACCGGACACACUGGGACUGAGACACGGCCCAGACUCCUACGGGAGGCAGCAGUGGGGAAUAUUGCACAAUGGGCGCAAGCCUGAUGCAGCAACGCCGCGUGAGGGAUGAAGGCCUUCGGGUUGUAAACCUCUUUUAGCAGGGAAGAAGCGAAAGUGACGGUACCUGCAGAAAAAGCACCGGCUAACUACGUGCCAGCAGCCGCAGUAAAAC
rnacentral:rRNA from 1 species